rnacentral:rRNA from 1 species
UGGGGAAUAUUGCACAAUGGGCGCAAGCCUGAUGCAGCCAUGCCGCGUGUAUGAAGAAAGCCUUCGGGUUGUAAAGUACUUUCAGCGGGGAGGAAGGGAGUAAAGUUAAUACCUUUGCUCAUUGACGUUACCCGCAGAAGAAGCACCGGCUAACUCCGUGCCAGCAGCCGCGGUAAUACGGAGGGUGCAAGCGUUAAUCGGAAUUACUGGGCGUAAAGCGCACGCAGGCGGUUUGUUAAGUCAGAUGUGAAAUCCCCGGGCUCAACCUGGGAACUGCAUCUGAUACUGGCAAGCUUGAGUCUCGUAGAGGGGAGUAGAAUUCCAGGUGUAGCGGUGAAAUGCGUAGAGAUCUGGAGGAAUACCGGUGGCGAAGGCGGCCCCCUGGACGAAGACUGACGCUCAGGUGCGAAAGCGUGGGGAGCAAACAGG